AAUAAACCCCACCCAAAAACAUAAUUAAGAAAAGAAGAAGGUUUUGAGAGCCUUUUUGACUGCUUUUCACAAUUUUAAGCAGUUCCUGCACUGAAUGUAAGGAGAAUUUUUUAGUAUCAUUGCCCUACUUUCUUCGAAUAACUAUUUCCUGUCAAAAACAAAGAAAAUAAGGUUUGAUAUGCUUUUGAUAAUUUUGAAGUGGAAGUUGGGUAAUGGGUAGAGAUUGUUAAAACUCUAUUUUUAUUCUUUUUUAAAGUUCUUUGUAGCUGUUUCUCUGUUUUCUAUAAAUGUCUGAUUAUAUAUCUGAGCUUGUUUGUUCACAGUUGACGGCUGAAUAUUCUACCUCUGUGUUCUUAUCAGUUUCUUCAGUGAAGUGCCUGGUUCCUUGUAAAUCUAACGUGGAAGAGGGGGGGACCUAAGCUUGCCUGCCUUGUAUUGAAGGGUGUCAGUGCAGGGAAGGGAGAUAGGAAGGGAAGGCUGGUUGUUUUUUUGUUUUCUUUUCCCACAGAUCUGCAUUUAAAUGAUGUUGUUUUGGAAUACAGACCAUCUGGCUAGUUUCAUUUCUCAGAUUCAUUUUCAUGAAGGUCUCAGUAUAUGCAACGGUAGAGAAGCUCAUUUGGACAAUCUUCUUCAGACAUCCUCAUUCAAUACUGUCUUACCUGUGUGGGAAGUGCUCUUGAUUAACUUUAUUUUGGUGGAAAGGACAUCAACAUAAAUCCAAUAUCCUUUUUAUCAGUUGCUUCUGCAGCUAGCGUUGGUGGUCAGCGCACAGCCCUGCUGGCCAGGAACAAAGAGCACCUAGCACCAAAGGAAGGCAAGAACUUUGCAAAUAAGAAAGGAAGAGUUGUUACCUUGCAUUUGUCUUCAGCUUUCCAGAAGCUAAGUUUAGUUUGAUACAAGUUAAAUAAUACUUCUUUUCAUGCCCUUUGGUCAAAUAGUUGUUCUUCUGUGCCUGAGUGGACUCGGAUACUAUUCCACGUUGAAAGUAAAACUUAUUUGUGUUUUGUUUUGUUUUGUUUUUAAGGUAGGAGUAAAAGAUACUCCUGGAACUGUUGGAAUGUGUAGGAACAAAAUGAAUGGUGCUAGACUGACAUGUAGGCAUAUUGGUGGAGGCAUUUGUUGUUUUACAGUUUUGUGAAAUGGCAUGUAUAUAUAUUUUUUGUUUAUCUAUCUAUUUAUUUAUUUUUGCUGUGGUUUUCAGAGGCACGCAGUAAAUGAUUUAUCUACCCUACUGAUCCCCUGUGCUGGCAGAGCUGUAGCAUAGUGCACUGACUGGGAAGCCUUAAGUUCUAGGCUGGCCUUGGAUGCUUGACUCCAGAUCCUCGGGAGGAGGGAAUGUUACAGGAAGGUGAAGGGAGAAAAAUCAUUGUCUGGGAAAGAAUUCAUUCCUGCCCCCUACGCAGAGUAAGCACAAGGAGGGUGUGUGACUGUGAUGGGAAUACCGAACAACUUGAACAGAGAUGCAAGUUUAUAGUUGUUAGGCCACCUUUUCUGUUAACCAGUAUGGAUGUAUUCUUGGCUGUAACCAACCUGAGCAAAAUAAAGCAGCUGCAGACUGCUACUUUGUCUUAGAGCAGAAAACUAAGACUCUGCAUGUAGUGUUAAUUCUUGGGUUUUGGUUUGUGAUCCUUCCACCACCUCUUCUUAGGCUCUUCCUGGAGUGAGAAGGCUGAAUACUUUUAAGUUAGCAAUUCUAGUAAAGUUGCUGUAAUCGUUCCCAGAAUGCUCCUAUAACAACUGGGGAUUCAGAGAGCUGAGCCAUCAAAACUGUUGGACUAGAUGUUGGAGGAUGGUCAAGUAGCUACAGCAAAUAAAAGCUGCAUCAGAGCUACUUCAUCUCUUUUACCAAUAGGCUGACUGCAGAAUAUUCAGCUUAGAGAGAGCAAAGUACAUACACUUCAGCAGUAGCAGUAGCUGUGAAGACUAGUUAAAAAUGCAAAAGCCUGGUGGCAGCUGGCCGAUAAAGAAACAGUAGGCAUGAUCCUCACAUCAGGAAACGCAUUGGGCUAUUCAUCUCCUGUCAGAUAUGAAAACCAGAAAUAAAAGAAAAAUGCCAGAUGAUCUGAUGAGAGGACUCAAUAUCUAUGUACCUGAAAGAUAGGUAUCUAGAAGUACCUGGUUUGCAAAAGGACAGGACAACAAAGUCCAGUAGCAAAGGAUUGUUGGUGACUGCUUUUUCUCAUAAGAACUGAAGGCUUAAUGCAAUUAAAACUAUUUAAUAUGGUGUUUUCCAAGGACUUUUUACAGUUCAUGUCCUCUGGCAGUUAGUUUCAAAGAUUAUAUUACUUCACCAGGUAUAUAAGAGAGGUCUAAAACCAGUAUAUAUUGAUUGUACCUCUAGCCAAAACAUCCAAGAUAAGAUUACAAAAUAGUACAU
ensembl:lncRNA